rnacentral:rRNA from 1 species
ACUGAAUAGAUACCCAGGUAGUCCUGGCCCUAAACGAUGCCUACUAGAUCGUGGCGGCACUGACGCCGUCAUGGUCGAAGCAAAAGUGUUAAGUGGACCGCCUGGGAAGUACGGUCGCAAGGCUAAAACUCAAAGAAAUUGACGGGGGCUCACACAAGCGGUGGAGCAUGUGGUUCAAUUCGAAGCAACGCGAAGAACCUUACCUGGGCUUGACAUGCUAGGAUUAUCUCCAUGAAAGUGGAGUACGCGGCGCAAGCCGUGGAACUAGUACAGGUGCUGCAUGGCUGUCGUCAGCUCGUGUCGUGAGAUGUCGGGUUAAGUCCCUUAACGAGCGAAACCUUUGCCCUUAGUUGCCAUCGGGUUAUGCCGGGCACUCUAAGGGGACUGCCGGUGUCAAACCGGAGGAAGGUGGAGAUGACGUCAAGUCCUCAUGGCCUUUAUGCCCAGGGCCACACACGUGCUACAAUGGCGUCCACAAAGCGAACCGAGAGCGCAAGCUGGAGGAAAUCGCAGAAAUGACG